rnacentral:rRNA from 1 species
AGUGAACGCUGGCGGUAGGCCUAACACAUGCAAGUCGAGCGGCAGCACAGUAAGAGCUUGCUCUUACGGGUGGCGAGUGGCGGACGGGUGAGGAAUACAUCGGAAUCUACUUUUUCGGGGGGGAUAACGUAGGGAAACUUACGCUAAUACCGCAUACGACCUACGGGUGAAAGCAGGGGAUCUUCGGACCUUGCGCGAUUGAAUGAGCCGAUGUCGGAUUAGCUAGUUGGCGGGGUAAAGGCCCACCAAGGCGACGAUCCGUAGCUGGUCUGAGAGGAUGAUCAGCCACACUGGAACUGAGACACGGUCCAGACUCCUACGGGAGGCAGCAGUGGGGAAUAUUGGGCAAUGGGCGCAAGCCUGAUCCAGCCAUACCGCGUGGGUGAAGAAGGCCUUCGGGUUGUAAAGCCCUUUUGUUGGGAAAGAACAGCAGCAGGUUAAUACCCCGCUGUUCUGACGGUACCCAAAGAAUAAGCACCGGCUAACUUCGUG